rnacentral:lncRNA from 1 species
AUUUGUGAGAUAUUUCCAUAAUUCCUCCUUUUUAGCAUUUCCACUUAAGCAUGUAAAUUUAGAGUCUCCUUUCCCCUGGUUUGUAGCAGAGGUUUCUUGGAUCAUAUAUGAUCCAAGCCAAAUAACAACAAAAAAGGCUAUGGCUGUGCCCUAUCUUCAAAAUUUCAGACCUCCCUGAGUUGGCUAGACUGGACCAGCACUCUGCACAGACAGACCCACAAGCUUGAAACCCACGGCCAGUGGGCAGAAGUGUCUGUUCAGGGUGCAAGAAGAGGAAGACGACAAGGAGGACAUGUGGUUUUGUGCUGGAAGCCAUCUGUGACCACCACCUGCCAUCUAGGAAGAGUGCUCCUACCUUCAGCCAGGGCUUUGAGGAAAGGGAAUCUGACGACGGGUUUGACACGGAGGAGAAUCUACCUCCCGGGCUGAGCAGGCUGAGAGUGCAUGCGGCUUCUCUGGCCCGCAGCUUUAUGGGAGCACCAAGCACGUUAUUGACCCAGAGAAUGGCUUGUCGUCUUCCGGUGUGAAAGUCCAUGAGAAAUACACGGGGAAAUGUACGUCCACCCCGCGGGGAAGGCGGGGCAGGCCCCUGCAGCGGAUGGCAUUUUUCUCUGACUGCCUGGCAGUCACUACCACUGAGUCGGAAUGAAUACAGAGCAAGAACUUGAAAAAUACCGUGCUACGGCCUCAUCUGUGUGCAGAGGCUGUCUCUUUGAGCACCCAAGGAGGNGUGUCUCUUCGAGCACCCAAGGAGCGCUGCUGUUCUCCCGGCAUGGCCAGCUGCAGCCACAUCAUUUGACCGCGGUCAGGCCUGGCCCCUGGCACUCUUGGUGCUCAUUCACUGCUCCCUUUUGGUUCCACUGUUUGGAAGCGGGCAUCGUGAAGGUGCCCUGA